rnacentral:rRNA from 1 species
UACGUAGGGUGCAAGCGUUGUCCGGAAUUAUUGGGCGUAAAGAGCUCGUAGGCGGUUUGUCGCGUCUGCUGUGAAAACUCGGGGCUUAACCCCGGGCCUGCAGUGGGUACGGGCAGACUAGAGUGCGGUAGGGGAGAAUGGAAUUCCCGGUGUAGCGGUGAAAUGCGCAGAUAUCGGGAGGAACACCGGUGGCGAAGGCGGUUCUCUGGGCCUUACCUGACGCUGAGGAGCGAAAGCGUGGGGAGCGAACAGGAUUGAGA